AAGUUGCACCAGGGGUGCUUGUAUUCCCAACGAUCUUAAGGCCCCUUGGCCUGGAUUGUUGCGAUAUGGGCUGAGAAAGUCCCUUUGAACCUGAACAGGAUAAUGCCUGCGAAGGGAGUGUGCAUUUUUAUUUUC
rfam:Triticum aestivum genome assembly, contig: Triticum_aestivum_CS42_TGACv1_scaffold_361374_4DS